GACGAACGCUGGCGGCGCGCCUAAAACAUGCAAGUCGAACGAGAAGCCCGGGCUUGCCCGGGUGGACAGUGGCGAACGGGUGAGUAACACGUGAGGAACCUGCCCCGAAGACCGGGACAACACCGGGAAACCGGUGCUAAUACCGGAUGCCCUCACCGGACCGCAUGAUCCGGUGAGGAAAUGGAUUCCGCUUCGGGAUGGCCUCGCGGCCUAUCAGCUAGUUGGUGAGGUAACGGCUCACCAAGGCGACGACGGGUAGCUGGUCUGAGAGGAUGUCCAGCCACACUGGGACUGAGACACGGCCCAGACUCCUACGGGAGGCAGCAGUUAGGAAUCUUGCGCAAUGGACGAAAGUCUGACGCAGCGACGCCGCGUGCGGGAUGAAGGCCCUCGGGUUGUAAACCGCUUUCAGCAGGGACGAAAUUGACGGUACCUGCAGAAGAAGCCCCGGCCAACUACGUGC
rnacentral:rRNA from 1 species